rnacentral:rRNA from 1 species
AGCAGCCGCGGUAAUUCCAGCUCCAAUAGCGUAUAUUAAAGUUGUUGCAGUUAAAAAGCUCGUAGUUGAAUUUCGGGAUCAGUUCGUCGGUCGUGCCUUUGGUAUGUACUGGUGUUACUGGUUCCUCCCUUCUGACGAACCGUCAUGUCAUUAAUUUGGUGUGGCGGGAAAUUAGGACUGUUACUUUGAAAAAUUAGAGUGUUUAAAGCAGGCUCGCGCUUGAAUACAUUAGCAUGGAAUAAUGAAAUAGGACGUUCGAUCCUAUUUUGUUGGUUUCUAGGAUUGACGUAAUGAUUAAUAGGGAUAGUUGGGGGCAUUAGUAUUCAAUUGUCAGAGGUGAAAUUCUUGGAUUUAUUGAAGACUAACUACUGCGAAAGCAUUUGCCAAGGAUGUUUUCAUUAAUCAAGAACGAAAGUUAGGGGAUCGAAGACGAUCAGAUACCGUCGUAGUCUUAACCCAUAAACUAUAGCCGACUAGGGAUCGGAUGGAUGUUAAUUUUUUAAUGUACUCUAUUCGGCGC